rnacentral:misc_RNA from 1 species
AAUUAAUUUGCUCAUGCCGUCAUAGACAUUUUACCAAGUACAAUCACCAUUCUAAAGCGCCAAAAUUCAAUUAUUUCGCUUCUAGAGGAAGCUUGGGCAUGAAAGAACUUGGUAUUGCAAUCUCCAUGCUGAAGCCAAAAGGUCUUUGACCUUUGUUUCCAAAAGAUCUCUUCCUGAGCUAGAGCCUGAUCAGAUCAUCUCUAAACUUAUUCAGAGCAUUAUUAAAAUCAACAAUCAGACUACCUUGGAGCCACUCAAUGUCUCUUCAAAUAGUUUCAACCUUCUUUUUGAAAUCAUUAUUAAUGUUAUGG